rnacentral:rRNA from 1 species
UACGUAGGGGGCAAGCGUUGUCCGGAUUUAUUGGGCGUAAAGAGCGUGUAGGCGGCCAAGCAGGUCCGCUGUGAAAACUCGAGGCUCAACCUCGAGACGUCGGCGGAAACCGUUUGGCUAGAGUCCGGAAGAGGAGAGUGGAAUUCCCGGUGUAGCGGUGAAAUGCGCAGAUAUUGGGAAGAACACCGGUGGCGAAGGCGGCUCACUGGCUCGUAACUGACGCUCAUGCACGACAGCGUGGGGAGCAAACAGG